GAAGGUUGCCAGAAAUUGAGGACGGACUCCCGCCCUGGUCGACUGAGCUCCCACAGGAGCGCCUCUGCUGCGUCUCGGGGCUGAGUGUGGACGCGCCGCGCGCGGCCCCGCCAGGGCUGGUAGUUUGCAGACCGUCCCUGCCGCGGCCCGCUCGGCGGCGGCCCUGCGGCUCCCGCGGCGGCGGCCCCGGGCGCGAUCCAGCCCAGGUAGCCGCGCCGCAGGCUCGGGGCGUCGCGACCUCGCGCCUCGGGCCGCGUGGGCACGGCGGCCGGCGGGUGCUCCCGGCUGCUGCUGCUGCCCAACAAGGAGGCAAUGGGAAAAUAGUAAGAGGCAGACCAACAGUGAUCCAGGGCUCUGAAAGCUAAUUGCUUCAAGAUCCUGCUACCAUUUUCUUUUGGGCUGCUUGCAAAGAAGAAUCCUUUGACUGAAGCAUCAGAAUGGAAGUGAGGAAAGGCAACCAGCUGACACAGGAGCCAGAGUGAGACCAGCAGACUCUCACACUCAACCUACACCAUGAAUUUGUGUCUAUCUUCUACGCGUUAAGAGCCGAGGACAGGUGAAGUUGCCAGAGAGCAAUGGCUCUCUUCACUCCGUGGAAGUUGUCCUCUCAGAAGCUGGGCUUUUUCCUGGUGACUUUUGGCUUCAUUUGGGGUAUGAUGCUUCUGCACUUUACCAUCCAGCAGCGAACUCAGCCUGAAAGCAGCUCCAUGCUGCGCGAGCAGAUCCUGGACCUCAGCAAAAGGUACAUCAAGGCACUGGCAGAAGAAAACAGGAAUGUGGUGGAUGGGCCGUACGCUGGAGUCAUGACAGCUUAUG
rnacentral:sRNA from 1 species